UUAAAAUAAAAAUUAAUAUGAGGUUCUCUAAUCUAUUAAAUUAGAUUUUUUUAAUCGUAGCGUAAGAUUUCAUUUUAUUGUAAAAAAAAUUCAUUCAUCUUAGUCAUCAAAGAAAAUAGAGCAUUGAGAUACCAGUUAGAGAAGAAGAAAGAGAAGAAGAAGAAGAAGAUGAAAAGAGAGGUUGUGGUGAGGUUCAAUCAGGGGUUUGGGUUUAAUGGUGGUGGAGGUGGUGGUGGGAAAGAUGACGGAGCUACUGCUAGAGGCAGCUUGGUUGGAUUUUGGAUGCAAUUGUUUCCAUUUGCGUACUCUCUUUCAUUUAGCAACUGAUUUGGGGUUCUUCUCACAAAUCUUAGUUCCUUUACAUUUCUGAAAAAAAAAACAGCUCCUUGCAGUGCUUGUAGCAAUUGUUGGUGUGGGUGCUUUUCUGUGGUGGGCAAGGCAGGAUAUGGUUCAAGACAGUGUAAGGCUACUUCUAUUUUUUCUCUUGCUCACUUCUUAAAGCUCAUAGUUUUCUUCAAAUGUGGUAUCAAACAUCUGUUGUUGCCUAGUUAAAACACAACCCAAGUUGUUGAGUGCCUUAAGUUCCAUGCUCUCAAUUUAAUUUCCAUGUUGGCACCUACAAGUGACUGGUAAAACCUUUUUAAUUAUUUAUGUCAGGUUCAAUUAUUUUUUAAAAAUAUAUUAGGUCUUACAUGAUGUUUUGGCAUUUGUGGACGGUUAAUUUAUCAAUCUACAGAUCUUCUAGUGGAUAGUGUACCGUGUACCGAAAUGCUCUAUGAUUUUCUUUUAUUUGGAGUUGACAAUUAAGUAAUGUUGGUGUGCUCUUGAUUUCAAAAAACUGUAUCACAGGUGGUAUAUAAACAGGUAAUCUGGAUUGGUGUUGGAUAGUUUCCAUGAAUAGGCAUGUAGAAAUCUAUUGUGUUAUAAUGAGUUCAUGCUUUCCCAUGUGAGAUGUAUCAGAUAAAUGCAUGAUAUGUAUAGGAUGUUUGGAAAGGGUUUAAGUACGCAAGUGAUACUCUUUCAUGUAACAAUUCACAAACGCUUCAUCUACAUCUUGUAAUUAAGUAAUGUCAGAGUAACAUCAUGAGGGUGAUUUUCAAUUGUGAAGUUUUAUUUAUUUCUUACUCUGAUGUCUUCUGCUUUUAAUGAACAACAACCAUUGUUCCCAUAAAGUGCCAUAUAGUGAGGACUUGAGAAAAUGGUUAUGCGCCAUAUGUUGUUCCCAUAAAGUGCCAUAUAGUAAGGAUGGAUUUCCCAUAAAGGUUUUCUUAUACUGUGUUGCUCGUGAUCUUCUAAUUGCUCGUGAUCUUCUAAUUGCUCGUGAUCUUCUAAGUGCUAGAUAACUUAGUUCAUUUUGAGUAUUUUUAGUUUUAAAUGUAAUUUUUAUUGUGAUUUAAAUAUCAUGUUACAAUGGAUAGAUUUGCAGGUUGUAUGUAAUUAUAUUUAUUUUAAUUAGUUUGCAA